rnacentral:tRNA from 1 species
GCCCUGGUAGUGCAGUGGUUAAGCACUCAGCUGCUAACUGAAACGUCGGUGGUUCAAACCCACCUGGCA